GCAUCGAUGAAGAACGCAGCGAACUGCGAUACGUAAUGCGAAUUGCAGGAUUCAGUGAGUCAUCGAAAUUUUGAACGCAUAUUGCACUUCCGGGUUAGUCCUGGGAGUAUGCCUGUAUCAGUGUCCGUACACUAAACUUGGCUCCCUUCCUUCCGUGUAGUCGGUGGAUGGGGACGCGCAGAGAUGUGAAGUGUCUUGCGGCUGGUCUUCGGUCCGGCUGCGAGUCCUUUGAAAUGUACUACACUGUACUUCUCUUUGCUCGAAAAGCGUGACGUUGCUGGUUGUGGAGGCUGCCUGUGAUGGCAUGUCGGCGACCGGUUUGUCUGCUGCGGCGUUUAAUGGAGGAGUGUUCGAUUCGCGGUAUGAUCGGACUUCGGCUGAACAGACGCUUAAUUGGGUGACUUUUCCUGCUGUGGCUGGAUGGACUGGUGAACCGUAGCCUGUGCUAGGCUUAGGCGUUUUGAAACCGUGCUGGUGUCGGUGCGAAGUAGGGUAGUCUAGUUUCCGGCGCAAGCUUUGGGGUGAGACGACAGGGUCGAUCCAUUUGGGAAACGUUUGUGGCCUCGCUUCGGCGCUGCAUCUCAAUUGGAACCUGNAUAUCAGGCAAGAUUAACCCUGCUGAACUUAAAACAUAUCAAUUAANCANNGA
rnacentral:rRNA from 1 species